CAGUUUCGAUGCGAAUUAUCAGUUCAAUUUUACCCUCUCUCUAGAAUUAUCAGUAUACUCAGCUCUGUUCAAGUUCAUUGUUGCUGUUUCCUCAGAUUUCAGUUAGGUGUUAUCGUGCUCCAUACUCAGCUCUGUUCAAGCUCCUUGUUGCUGCUCAGGUCUGUGCAUUGAUUUACCAAAAGAUAAAUAAGGAAAGGAAGGAGGCACAAAAGUUAGAAGAAAAAAAGAAAAGGAAGGAAGAGGUUCUAGGUGAAGUGGGACAAAUGAUGGAUGAAGAUCUUGUUGUCCAUAACUUGGACAAAAAACUCACCGAAAUUGAAAAAUUCGUGAAUCCUAACCGGGUGAUACCUCCUAGUUUCUUUAAUCCUACAGCAUCAAUUAAGGGCCAAAAUCUCUUUGUUUCAAGAAUGCUACAACAACAAUUCAAGAAUCCUGGCCAAAGUCUCCUAGUUUCAAGAAUUAUUCACCAGCAGGUCAAGUUAUCCAGCUUUUAUGUCGAGUAGUAUGAAAAAGAAGAAAAAGAAGCAUCCUCAUACAUUCAGGUGUAUGAAAGAGACCAUUAAACAGUACUCGUAACUCCGUUGCUGUAUUUUUUACUCGUUACUCGUUCCUGCCUUGGUCGUCAUCGAUUUUCCCAGUUAUGAAUGCAUUUAAUAAGCUUGAUUUGUUUUUUUUGUGAUCAUUAAAGCCAUUGUUAUAGUAGAUCUGAUCCUGUAUAUCGUUGACUGUGGAUUAUACCUGAGAUUGUUGCCCUAUAUCGGAUUGUGGGAAGACGGUUACUGAUUUGGUUCUGUAUCUGUGAUUUGGUUGUAAGUUGUUUUUUUUUUGUGAUUGUCCAUAACAAUAACUGCUGUUUAGUAGUAUUUGACAUCACUAGGAUGGCAUUCCCUCCAAGUACUAGUACUACUAGCAAUUCUAAUGCUACUGCUGGCAUCCUCAUACAUAAUAUGACAAGACCAGCAAAGGACUAGUACUACUAAAC